AACCUGGUUGAUCCUGCCAGUAGUCAUAUGCUUGUCACAAAGGCUAAGCCAUGCAUGUGUAAGAAUAAACCCCAGAAUGGUGAAUCUGCGAAUGGCUCAUUAAAACAGUUAUUGUUUAUUUGAUGGUACUUACUACAUGGAUAACCGUAGUAAUUCUAGAGCUAAUACAUGCGUCAAGCCCUGACUUCGGAAGGGGUGCAUUUAUUAGAUACAAGCCAUCGGUCUUCGGGCCUUUGAUGGUGAGUCAUAAUAACUGAGCGAAUCGAAUGGCCUUGUGCUGUCGAUGCUUCAUUCAAAUUUCUGCCCUAUCAGCUUUCGAUGGUAGGAUCUUGGCCUACCAUGGCUAUAACGGGUAACGGGGAAUUAGGGUUCGGUUCCGGAGAGGGAGCCUGAGAAACGGCUACCACAUCCAAGGAUGGCAGCAGGCGCGCAAAUUACCCAAUCCCGACACGGGGAGGUAGUGACAUGAAAUAACAAUGCUGGACUCAUUCGAGUCCGGCAAUUGGAAUGAGAGUAAUGUAAAACAAUUCUCGAGGAGCCAUUGGAGGGCAAGUCUGGUGCCAGCAGCCGCGGUAAUUCCAGCUCCAAUAGCGUAUAUUAAAGUUGUUGCAGUUAAAAAGCUCGUAGUCGAAGUUAUUUG
rnacentral:rRNA from 1 species